rnacentral:lncRNA from 1 species
GCCCUGGGUAGGGUAGGGCCCUGGAGAAGGCCAGAGGAGGUGCUCCAAGUUCUUGACUGGAGUCCUCUCCAGGAGCUGGAAUUUGUGGUGAUUUGCUUCUCUAGACCCAGGUCCUACCAGGUGCCCCAUCUGGGGAGCACUUUCCAGGUCUGGGCCUAACCCCUUGGUGCUGGUAGAAGAAUAAAUGUCCGUAUCAGGCUGGCAACUCCACCAUGCUGGGACAGGCACCAAGAGGGUUUGGUACAAAGAGAGCCAGUGAAGGGGCUUGCAGGAGAGGCAGUUUGGUUCUCAUAGCCAGGUUGGAGGUGGAAAUAAGAGCCAUUUGAAGAAUUAGUGGCGGAUUUUAGCUGCCGUGGAGGGCGCACAGCUUUGGGCAGGGAAAGUGUCCUUCUCACCACCCCAGCAAGUCUUUUUUUGUCUAUUUCUUUCAAGUGGAGAUAAUCCCUUCUACCUGGCCAGACAGCUGAACUGUUUUCAUUUUUUUUCUUCUUCAGUAAUAAAUCUGCCAACCCUGCAGGGCCUGAGCCAAGGGCUUGCUUGCUGCGUCUACACAGAGGUCUCAUAAAAAUGGUGUAAAACGAAAGAGAAAAAUGCAUAUUUCACACUUGGUCUGUUCUAGGUGAUGGUGAUUUUCGACUCAUUCCCGUUACAAACAGCCGACCUUCCUACCGAGUUCAAGUACCUUCUGCCUGGCCUGGAAGAACCGUAUCUCUCUGUCACCCUCUUCCUCUGGCCCUCACCUGCCCUCCCCUGAACAUGCAUUUUGCCUGAGAGGAGACAGAGGCGGUUGGUGCUUGCAGCUUGGUCCAGGACGCCAGCGGGACCAGACAGAAGACCACAGCGACACGUGGGGAUGGCUGUUCCACAGGCAGAAAUGGGCAGCCAGGAGGAAGUCCGGGCAGCCAGCCACCCAGCUCCUUCCACAUCGUGGCCCUAGAACGGAGUCUUGA